CUGCCCCCAGCAGAGGCGGAAGCGGUGUCGCUCUGAGGGGUCGCCAGUCGCCGCAGGCGCUUCAGCCCAGCGGCGGGCCUUGGCCCUUGGCUGCCUACUCCUACCGCCCCAGCCCCGGGCGGCCCUGGGCCUGCUGCGGGCGCGGCGCUGCCCGACCAGAGCUUCCUGUGGAACGUCUUCCAGAGGGUCGAUAAAGACAGGAGUGGAGUGAUAUCAGACACCGAGCUUCAGCAAGCUCUCUCCAACGGAUGAAGCCCCACCCGCCCUUCAGGAUGCCAGCCUUGGCAACAUCGUGAGACCCUGUUUCUACAAAAACUAAACAAGUGUAGUGGUGCACGCCUGUAUUCCCAGCUACUUGGGAGGCUGAGAUGGGAAGAUCACUUGAGCCUGGGAGGUUGAGGCUGCAUUGAGCUGAGAUCAAGCCACGGCACUCCAGCCUGGGAGACAGAGCGAAACCCCAUCUCAAAAAAACAAAGAAAGUGGAUGCGUGCUGCUCCUGCCAUUGGAUCAUCGCAGCAUUUUUCUUUUCUCUGAUAUGCGCCUUUUUCCUCAUCGUGGGGGCUCAUGUUUUCGUAAUUCCCUCUCGCUACUAGAUUGUGAGCUGUGUGAAGGAAGGUUCAUAGUUGAGUUGUAUGUACAGGCACACAAAAUUUGUCCUUGGAUAGACACAUAUCAAUCCACUUCCUUCUCCUCUCUGAAUUUCUUUAUUUAAAAAAAAAAGUAGAGAUGGAGUCUCACUGUCUUGCCCAGGCUGGUGUCAAACUCCUAGGCUCAAGUGAUCCUCCCACCUCUACUAAUAUGAAUUAUUAGGCUAUGCUAAUAUGAAUUUGUAUACUAAUAUGAUUGAAAUUAGUUUGACUUCUAUAAUAAUUGUUCUCCCAGAUUGGGCUUCUGUUUUGAUAGUAGAACUAAAUUAUUAGGCUAUUUCAAGAAAUUAAUAUAUUACUGGUAGAAAAACUGAAGCUACAAAAUGGCCUGGUUUCUCACUUCAGUUAAAUUUGUGCUUCUGAGUGCUUGUAUUCUAGGUGAAACCGCACUGAGAAGGUAUUUGUGGCCUAUACGCUGAUUCAUUGAUUAGACUUCUUUGCACAGGAGAGCUGCUAAAAAUUACUGCGGUGAACAGAUGGAGGCCCAUUGAGGCUUCUCUGUCCUCCACGGGGAACAGCAUUGGCCUAAACCUGCAGACACCAUUGCAAAGGGAAUUCAGGCAAACCGGCUGGUGAAGAAUGAUUCCAGCGUGGGGACAGAGGCUGACAUUUCUUGCGCACGUGGACUCCCUUUAAUCCAGUGACUGUCAGGUCGAUCAUAUACUACACUGAAGGCUGGUUACGCUCUUAUGUGCAAUAGAACCUCAAACACAUCGUAACACACCUUUGGAGAAUCCUUACAAGAACACCAAGUUAACAGUUAUCUCUGACCACACUACCUCAGCAAAAAACCAGGAAGAAAAAAUAUUCUUCAACCCUUUUCAGGGACAGAAAGCAUCAUUUCAAAAGUCCAAGAAGGGAAGCAAAACUUCUGACCUGAGACAUCGAAGCAGAUAAAAAGCCGCUACACAAAAUGUAUCGCUACAACUAGAGGGCAGUCUUGCCUUUCUUCCAUUCAAUUAUUCAGUUUCUCAUGUUCCUAAGUGCCAGCCCAGAACCAUGGAAUGUGAAGAAACACAAAACUCACUCCUCUGCAUCAGUGAAUUGAUUGUGUGGUGGGGAUGUAAGUCUGCAUGUGACUGACAGUUCCCCAAAGUGGUGCCAAGUCAAUCUAAACUAGAGAGAAUUUCUGGCCAGGCCAAGCAGAGAUUUCAUGGAUGAAGUCUCCCAAAGACUGAUUUCCUAAACAUUAAACAUCACUGGUUUUCCAAAACUGGUUUUCUUUUUUUUUUUUUAACCCUGUUUCUCAGGCUGGAGGGCAAGUGGUGCCAUCUCCACUCACUGCAGCCUCGACCUCCCAGGCUCCACUGAUCUUCCCACCUCAGCCUCCUGAGUAGCUGGGACUACAGGUGUGCACCGCCACGACUCGCUAAUUUUUGUAUUUUUUGUAGAGACGGGGUUUUGCUGUGUUGCUCAGGCUGGUCACUCGAUCUGCCCACCUGGGUCUCGCAGAGUGCUGGGGUUACAGGUAUGAGCCACCACGCCCAGCCCACUGGUUUCCUUUACACCCGUUUUGUUCCCCAGCAGUCCUUAUGAGGGCACCUGAAAUAAGGAACCUCCUCCCCGACUUGAGAGCAGCAAAGCCUUCAGAGGGAACUAAGUUAUUAAAACCCACCCCACACAAAAUGCUUCUAAACGCCUUGGCUGACUUAAUCCUUGCAGUGUGCUGAGGUUAAGUAUGAUUAUCCAUCUCCUGUGAACAGGAAGACUGAGGCUCAGAGCUUAAGUGAUUUGCCCACGGUUCACUGCAGGGGAUAAAACUCGGCUGUCCCUGGCAGGUCCCAAAGUCACGGCCUUCAGGCUCCCACACCAUGCUGCCUCCCUCACCGGGGCUCCACACUCUCAGCCUGGAAAACACUAAUUUUAAGAAAACCAUGACUUACGAAAAGCAGCCAAUCCCAGCAUUGGAACCAACAGGGCAUAAUUCCACCUGCUUCCAUCACCACCAUCCGCCCUGGAAUUAGGCCGGAUAUUCCAAUUUGGGGGAUCAUUUAGGUUAUUCAUGGAG
rnacentral:lncRNA from 1 species